GUAGUGGUAAGCCCAGUUGUGUUAGAUAAUAAGCAUAGGCCCUGUAUAUCUAGUGUCAGCACACAUGUAACUGUACAAGCCAUAUUGGUAACAACAGCUUUUUAAGGCAGGCAGGGAGGUGAGAGUUUGGCCACUAAAAACGUUUUAACCCCCAGUUCCAGUUCUCAAGACUGGACUGCCUAGCCUGCUGUUCACCACGGCUUCAUGCUAGCACAGUAAUUGUAAAAGUUUGUUUAUAUUGUCACAUGGUAUGACGACAAUUGGUGUCUCUGAGUCGUGAAAAGAGGGUCAAUGGCGGGAUGCUAGGUAGAUAGCCAGGAAAGAAGCCUAGGCGGGUAGGCAGACUAGGAGCAUCAACCGACUGUGGCCAACACUCUGACGUCUGACUAUCGACAAGAGUUGGGUGUAGUGUCCUCUCUUAAAUCUAAUGUCACACUUUUAUUUAAUCUCUCUCUCUCUAUCUCUCUCUCUCUCUCUCCCUCUCUCUCUCUCUCCACAGGUUAACUGUUCCUAUUUUAAAUACACUGCUAGAGCUAUUGUCUCUUGAUAAACACGGCAAUAAAGCUGAUAUUAUUGCAAGAAUACUGACCUUCCUAUCCAAACCUGUGGACAAUGGAAUACCUAUUCCUGAGCCAAAGAAAAGGAGAAAGUCAUCAAUUGAAAAGGCUGGUGGUGGCCCUACUAAGAAGAGUAAAGUAGACGAAGAUGAAGAAGCUGGUCCUGAGACUGAAAAGGACAAUAAAGGAGAGAAAGAAGACAAUGGAGAUAAAGACGAGAGUAAAAUGGAGACAGAAGAUAAAGAUGAAAGUAAAAUGGAGACAGAAGAAGAGAAGGCCCCAUCAGGAGCUACUGGUACUGACCCAGUAACAAACGAUCAAGAUGAUAGUAAAGAA